UACGAAGGCAGCAGUGGGGAAUAUUGCACAAUGGGCGAAAGCCUGAUGCAGCUAUGCCGCGUGUAUGAAGAAGGCCUUAGGGUUGUAAAGUACUUUCAUCGGGGAGGAAAAACAAAACUAAUAAUUUUAUUUCUUGACGUUACCCGAAAAAGAAGCACCGGCUAACUCCGUGCCAGCAGCCGCGGUAAUACGGAGGGUGCUAGCGUUAAUCAGAAUUACUGGGCGUAAAGAGCACGUAGGUGGUUUUUUUAAGUCAGAUGUGAAAUCCCUGGGCUUAACCUGGAACUGCAUUUUGAAACUGAAAUACUAGAGUAUCGUAGAGGGAGGUAGAAUUCUAGGUGUAGCGGUGAAAUGCGUAGAUAUCUGGAGGAAUACCUGUGGCGAAAGCGGCCUCCUAAACGAAUACUGACACUGAGGUGCGAAAGCGUGGGGAGCGAAACAGGGAUUAGAUACC
rnacentral:rRNA from 1 species